CCCGCGACUACUUUGUGUACCCGGGUGGCGCGCUUGGGUCCUCCGGCUCAGCUCGCCGUCCGGGCUGGUCCGAGCUAGCUCUUCGGCCCACUACUCUGCACCGCGGGCGCCAGGAAUUUCCCGAGUCCGAGCGGGUUGCUGCUUUUGCUAAGAGAACACCCAUGACUUUGAUGGUAUUUUCAUUCAAAAUAAAGUACUCGAUUGCCUUUAUUGAUUAACUGAACCAAUUCAGAUCUCUGGUAGACAUGGGAAGAUAUUUGCUGUGGAAGACCUCCUUACAGUCAAAUCUGGAAUCAGAUAACUGGGUUGAAAUUCCUGUCUGACACUUGUGAGCUGUUUGACACCACUCCCACUGCCUGUUACUUCACCUUUAAAUGCCCUGAUUUUCUUAUCUGUAAGACAUAUGUUGUUCCCUUUCCAGUAUUCUUUAUACCAUAAACAUUUUCUCUUGCAUAGUGGGAUUUUCUCAUUAAUUUUCUCAUAUGCUACUCAUGUAGACUAUUCUUUGUUUUUUUAAAAAGAAAGUUGUGAUUGAGAACAUAGGACUUUGGAAUCAGACUUAGAUGUGUUCUAUGAAAGCUUACUCCUUAAAGUUAUUUGUUAACAUGUGUCCAAGUUUUAUCUAACUAAUGAGGGAACAAUCAGGAAGACAAAGGAACUGCUUCCAAGAGUGUCUGAGCAUCAGGAGUUCAUAUAUUCAUUUAAGAAGGGGAUGCCAAGAUAAAAUUGCUAAGCUACAGAGAAGGACAAGGAAGCCCAUAUCACCUUUGGGGUUAUUCCUCAGAAAACUUGGAAUGUAAAAUGUUGAGUUAUAGCAUCAUGGUCUUUAUCGUUGUCUCCAGUAUCAUCAAACUGGAUUUCAUCCUCAUCUCCAGUACCAAAUGUAUGUUUCAUUGAUUUUAGCAUAUUUUGGAAGCUUGCCAUAUGCCUUAAGACUUACACCUUCAUCUGCAUUGUAUUUUAAAAUUACCUCAGCUUUGUUAUCUCCAUAGUCUGGCAGACCAACCAAAAUACCGUCUGAGGUAUUUAUUCAAACCGUUUUUCUAAGUUUUCCUUUGAUAGGACAUAACCACUUUACACCAUCAAAACUCAUUGCUUCUAAUCAUCCAUUUUCCAACAUUUGGUUACCUGAGCAUGCUCUUAUUCAUCCUCUGUACACAGCCACUUUGUUCAGAUUCAUUCUUAUUCAUGGCGCUGCACUGUUUUUACCACUUUUGCCUUUAUUCUUGGGCAUGGCAAUGCCUUGCCACAUCUCGGACUUCUUUCCUGUGGCGGUGGUGGCAGCUGCCCCUCUGAGUGGCGCACGGGAGGAAGUAACGUGUUGCGAAGUGGCACUGCAUACGCGCGGGAGAAUUUUGAGACUGAGCUUUUCCGAAAUGGACUCAGUGACAGUACAUUUCUUUUCUUCCCUCUUCCCUUUCCGUGUGUGUUAAUGAUAUUAAGGUUUUCUGGCAGGUCCAUAGUAGCCUUUACUCUUUUACUUGCAAUGAUUUUAAGGUUUUCUGGCAGGUCCAUAGCAACCUUUACUCUUGUACUUUC
rnacentral:lncRNA from 1 species